CCCACCAUCCCCCUAGUCCUGAUCAAGGCAUCCGACAUGACCAACCCAGACAUACCAUACCCUUGGCAUAUUUUAAGGAGAAUAAAAACUGAGAAUGAUGAAAGGAAUUGUCAUUUUCGUGGUGAAUAUCUCCUGUUUCAGGUAUCUUUUGCUGUGCAACAAACUAUCCCACAACUUAGUGGCUUAAAACAGCAUUUCAUUGGAACAUGGCUUUGUGGGUCAGUAACUUGAUCAGAGCAUGGUGGGAAUAGCUCAUCUCUGUUCUGUGAUGUCUGGGGCCUCAGCUGGAAUGGCUCAAAAAGCUGAGGUCUGGUUGGAACAAUUCAAGUGGGGUCAUAUAUCUAGGCUUCAGUCCUUGGUGUUGGCUGGGUUCCUCAGUUCUCCUCUGCUUGGCCUCUCCAGGUGAUCUCUCAGGAUAGUUGGACUGCUCACAGCGGGCUGGCUUCCCCCAGGGAGCAAAAGCAGAAGCUGCCAGAUCUUCUUAAGGCCUGGGACUGGAAUUGCAUCACAGCUGCUGCAUUCUGUUGGUCAAAGCAAGUCACAAGGUCACCCUG
rnacentral:lncRNA from 1 species